AUUGAACGCUGGCGGAAUGCUUUACACAUGCAAGUCGAACGGCAGCACGGGGGCAACCCUGGUGGCGAGUGGCGAACGGGUGAGUAAUACAUCGGAACGUGCCCAGUCGUGGGGGAUAACGUAGCGAAAGUUACGCUAAUACCGCAUACGAUCUAAGGAUGAAAGCGGGGGAUCGCAAGACCUCGCGCGAUUGGAGCGGCCGAUAUCAGAUUAGGUAGUUGGUGGGGUAAAGGCUCACCAAGCCAACGAUCUGUAGUUGGUCUGAGAGGACGACCAGCCACACUGGAACUGAGACACGGUCCAGACUCCUACGGGAGGCAGCAGUGGGGAAUUUUGGACAAUGGACGCAAGUCUGAUCCAGCCAUUCCGCGUGCAGGAUGAAGGCCCUCGGGUUGUAAACUGCUUUUGUACGGAACGAAAAGGUCUCUCUUAAUACGGGGGACUCAUGACGGUACCGUAAGAAUAAGCACCGGCUAGCUACGUGCCAGCCGCCGCCGUAA
rnacentral:rRNA from 1 species